GCGGCAGCAGNGACAGCAGUAGCAGAGGCAGAGGCAGAGGCAGCGGCAGUUUGGCCCUCUGACUCUCUUCGGUGACGGGUAUUCUUGGGUGGAUAAUACGGAUUACGUUGUUAUUGCUUAAGAAUACGCGUAGUCGAGGAGAGUACUAGCGGCAGGCGGGCAGCGGCCGCCCCUCCCAGCCCACCAGCUGGCCACUAAAAGCUCCCGGUUGCCAAGAAGUAUGAGCGCGUAAUUGUGCUGGAUUUCCACGUAUGUCAGUUGAGCCAUUUGAAGACAUUAGGAGUGGGGGUUAUUGAACCCUCCCUUGCUCUAGGACAAUGCAAGCCUGCCUCUGUGUUCACCACAGGUAUGUGUUCAUGACUUCUUCCUUAAUAGAUUGGCCAGAUAAACUAAAUUACAGGAUUGCUUCUCUUCGUUUGGUGUAUAGUCCUGGUGAAUAGUACCUAUCUGUAUUUUCAUGAUUUUAACAAAAAUUAAAAUUCUCAGCUUAUCCUACGUUAUAUAAAGAAAGUAUCUACAUCCAAUUUUGUUUCUUCUAUAAAAAAAAAACAAAAAACAAAAACCUGUCAUUUCUUUCAGAAAAUCUAUUUCCAGCUGAUUAGAGUUUGACGAGCCUCACCCUCAUCAAAUAUACUUUUUUCUAGAUUAUUAAGUUUUUAAAACAUUUAUUUUUUUACAUCCCAAAUGCUGCCCCC
rnacentral:lncRNA from 1 species